UACAGGGGGUGCAAACGUUGCUCGGAAUCAUUGGGCGUAAAGAGCUCGUAGGCGGUUUGUCGCGUCGAAUGUGAAAACCCGGGGCUCAACCCCGGGCCUGCAUUCGAUACGGGCAGACUAGAGUUCGGUAGGGGAGUCUGGAAUUCCUGGUGUAGCGGUGAAAUGCGCAGAUAUCAGGAGGAACACCGGUGGCGAAGGCGGGACUCUGGGCCGAUACUGACGCUGAGGAGCGAAAGCGUGGGGAGCAAACAGG
rnacentral:rRNA from 1 species